rnacentral:rRNA from 1 species
CGGGGUGCAGCAGGCGCGAAAACUUUACAAUGCUGGCAACAGCGAUAAGGGGACCUUGAGUGCCAGGAUACAAUCCUGGCUGUCGUGAUGCCUAAAAAGCAUUAUAUAGCAAGGGCCGGGCAAGACCGGUGCCAGCCGCCGCGGUAACACCGGCGGCUCGAGUGGUAACCGCUAUUAUUGGGUCUAAAGGGUCUGUAGCCGGCUUGGUUAGUCUCUUGGGAAAUCCGGCAGCUUAACUGUCGGGCUUUCUGGAGAUACUGCCAGGCUUGAGACCGGGAGAGGUGAGAGGUACUUCAUGGGUAGGGGUGAAAUCUUGUAAUCCUUGAAGGACCACCAGUGGCGAAGGCGUCUCACCAGAACGGAUCUGACGGCAAGGGACGAAAGCUAGGGGCACGAACCGGAUUAGAUACCCGGGUAGUCCUAGCCGUAAACGAUACUCGCUAGGUGUCGGCCACGGUGCGACCGUGGUCGGUGCCGUAGGGAAGCCGUGAAGCGAGCCACCUGGGAAGUACGGCCGCAAGGCAGAAACGAAAAGGAACUCGCGGGGGAGCAC